rnacentral:rRNA from 1 species
UACGUAGGGGGCGAGCGUUGUCCGGAAUCAUUGGGCGUAAAGCGCGUGUAGGCGGCUCGGUAAGUCUGCUGUGAAAGUCCAGGGCUCAACCCUGGGAUGCCGGUGGAUACUGUCGAGCUCGAGUCCGGAAGAGGCGAGUGGAAUUCCUGGUGUAGCGGUGAAAUGCGCAGAUAUCAGGAGGAACACCAAUGGCGAAGGCAGCUCGCUGGGACGUGACUGACGCUGAUACGCGAAAGCGUGGGGAGCAAACAGG